UUUCCGUCGGUGAACCUGCGGAAGGAUCAUUAUUGUAUAACCGAGGUGCGAGGGCUGUCGCUGACCCGAAAGGUCGUGCACGCCCGAGUGCCCUCACACACAUCCAUCUCACCCCUUUGUGCACCACCGCGUGGGUCCCCCUUUGGCUUGUUCGGAGGGGGGCUUACGUUUUCACACAAACUUUGUAUGCAGUGUAGAAUGUAUUUUUUGUUUUUGCGAUCACGCAAUCAAUACAACUUUCAACAACGGAUCUCUUGGCUCUC
rnacentral:misc_RNA from 1 species